CGCCUGGGGAGUACGGGUGAGGUAACGGCUCACCAAGGCAUCGACGGGUAGCUGGUCUGAGAGGAUGAUCAGCCACACUGGGACUGAGACACGGCCCAGACUCCUACGGGAGGCAGCAGUAGGGAAUAUUGCACAAUGGGCGAAAGCCUGAUGCAGCAACGCCGCGUGCGGGAAGAAGGCCCUAGGGUUGUAAACCGCUUUCAGCAGGGAAGAAAAUGACGGUACCUGCAGAAGAAGGUGCGGCCAACUACGUGCCAGCAGCCGCGGUGACACGUAGGCACCAAGCGUUGUCCGGAUUUAUUGGGCGUAAAGAGCUCGUAGGCGGUUCAGUAAGUCAGAUGUGAAAGCUCAGGGCUCAACCCUGAGACGCCAUCUGAUACUGCGGUGACUUGAAUCCAGUAGGGGAGUGUGGAAUUCCUGGUGUAGCGGUGAAAUGCGCAGAUAUCAGGAGGAACACCUAUGGCGAAGGCAGCACUCUGGGCUGGUAUUGACGCUGAGGAGCGAAAGCAUGGGUAGCAAACAGGAUUAGAUACCCUGGUAGUCCAUGCCGUAAACGGUGGGCACUAGGUGUGGGGACUUUCAACGGUUUCCGUGCCGCAGCUAACGCAUUAAGUGCCCCGCCUGGGGAGUACGG
rnacentral:rRNA from 1 species